rnacentral:rRNA from 1 species
CUAAGGCCGAUGGCGACCGGCGAACGGGUGAGUAACACGUAAAGAACCUGCCUCAUAGACUGGGACAACUAUUGGAAACGAUAGCUAAUACCGGAUAACAGUAUUUCUCGCAUGAGAGAUAUUUAAAAGUUGGUUAUGCUAACACUAUGAGAUGGCUUUGCGGUGCAUUAGCUAGUUGGUGGGGUAAAGGCCCACCAAGGCGACGAUGCAUAGCCGACCUGAGAGGAUGAACGGCCACACUGGAACUGAGACACGAUCCAGACUCC